rnacentral:rRNA from 1 species
CAAUAGCGUAUAUUAAAGUUGUUGCAGUUAAAAAGCUCGUAGUUGAAUUUGUGAUGUGUCCAGUCGGCCUUUGCUCUUUGAGUGAUUGUGCUGUUAUUGGUCCGUCAUGUUUGGGUGGAAUCUGUGUGGCAUUAGGUUGUCGUGCAGGGGAUGCCCAUCGUUUACUGUGAAAAAAUUAGAGUGUUCAAAGCAGGCUUAUGCCGUUGAAUAUAUUAGCAUGGAAUAAUGAUAUAGGACCUUGGUACUAUUUUGUUGGUUUGCGCACUAAGGUAAUGAUGAAUAGGGACAGUUGGGGGUAUUUGUAUUCCAUUGUCAGAGGUGAAAUUCUUGGAUUUUUGGAAGACAAACUACUGCGAAAGCAUUUACCAAGGAUGUUUUCAUUAA